GCUGGUGUAGCUCAAUUGGCAGAGCACUCGCCUUGUAAGCGAAAGGUUAGGGGUUCAAGUCCCCUCACCAGCU
rnacentral:tRNA from 1 species